GACGAACGCUGGCGGCGUGCUUAACACAUGCAAGUCGAACGGAAAUUUCCUGCUUUUGUGUGGUGCUCGAGUGGCGAACGGGUGAGUAACACGUGAGUAACCUGCCCUUGACUCUGGGAUAACUUCAGGAAACUCGGGCUAAUACCGGAUAUGAUCUCCUGCAGCAUGGUGUGGGUCGGAAAGUUUGGGUGGUUGGGGAUGUACGCGCGGCUUAUCGGCUGGUUGGUGGGGUAGUUGCUUACCAAGGCUUUGACGGGUAGCCGGCCUGGGAGGGUGAACGGCCACAUGGGGACUGAGGUACGGCGCAGACGCCAACGGGAGGCAGUAGAGGAGAGUAUUGCACAAUGGGCGGAAGCCUGAUGCAGCAACGCUGCGUGCGGGAUGACGGCCUUCGGGUUGUAAACCGCUUUCGCAUGUGACGAAGCGUGAGUGACGGUAAUGGGUAAAGAAGCACCGGCUAACUACGUG
rnacentral:rRNA from 1 species